GGGUUGUGAGGUUAAGCGACUAAGCGUACACGGUGGAUGCCCUGGCAGUCAGAGGCGAUGAAGGGCGUGCUAAUCUGCGAUAAGCGCCGGUAAGGUGAUAUGAACCGUUAUAACCGGCGAUACCCGAAUGGGGAAACCCAGUGUGACUCGUCACACUAUCAUUAACUGAAUCCAUAGGUUAAUGAGGCGAACCGGGGGAACUGAAACAUCUAAGUACCCCGAGGAAAAGAAAUCAACCGAGAUUCCCCCAGUAGCGGCGAGCGAACGGGGAGGAGCCCAGAGCCUGAAUCAGCAUGUGUGUUAGUGGAAGCGUCUGGAAAGGCGCGCGAUACAGGGUGACAGCCCCGUACACAAAAGCGCAUGUGCUGUGAGCUCGAUGAGUAGGGCGGGACACGUGGUAUCCUGUCUGAAUAUGGGGGGACCAUCCUCCAAGGCUAAAUACUCCUGACUGACCGAUAGUGAACCAGUACCGUGAGGGAAAGGCGAAAAGAACCCCGGCGAGGGGAGUGAAAAAGAACCUGAAACCGUGUACGUACAAGCAGUGGGAGCCCCACCACCAAAGCAUUCUCUGGUGUUGAAGGCCCUGCAAAGCAGCAUCGCGGUGGCGGAGCGUC
rnacentral:rRNA from 1 species